rnacentral:lncRNA from 1 species
CUUCUGGAUGGCUUAGAAUGUCAAGUUCAGUGGGAAAUCUGAAAACGUGGAAACCCAAUCCCAUGAGUCAUCUCUGAAAGGAUCACAUGUAAGGUCUGGGAAGAUGGGUCUCUACUGACAGUGUGACAGGAAAGGUUGUCCCUUCCUUCAGGGUUUGUAAAAGAAGUAAUAAGUCAACCAAGAGUGACCUGCUGUUGGAGCAAAACAGGGACACACUAUAGAAUAUGGAAGAAGAGGGACGAUGUCUAGCCAAAUAAGGAACUGAAGGUUCUGAUGAAACCACUUGUAACUUUCAGCCUGGUUGCCUAGCUUUGCUACAGAAAGUUGAGGUCCAGUCACUUUGGGUACAGGGUACAGAUGAAGAAGGAGCACCCCCAGGAGGCUACAGUGUGAAGGCAGUUCAUUGCUAAUGCUAUGAAUCUUGAAGCAGUAGGUACGAAUUUUA